rnacentral:rRNA from 1 species
CGUAGGCAGCAAGCGUUGUUCGGAAUUACUGGGCGUAAAGAGUGUGUAGGCGGUGCUCCAAGUCUGGUGUGGAAUCUCCCGGCUCAACUGGGAGGGUGCAUUAGAAACUGGAAUGCUAGAGGAUGGGAGAGGUAAGCGGAAUUCCUGGUGUAGCGGUGAAAUGCGUAGAUAUCAGGAGGAACACCUGUGGUGUAGACAGCUUACUGGACCAUUUCUGACGCUGAGACACGAAAGCGUGGGUAGCAAACAGGAUUAGAUACCCUGGUAGUCCACGCCCUAAACGAUGCAUACUUGGUGUGAGCGAUUCAUUUCGUUCGUGCCGGAGCUAACGCGUUAAGUAUGCCGCCUGGGGAGUACGGUCGCAAGGCUG